AGUGAACGCUGGCGGUAGGCCUAACACAUGCAAGUCGAACGGCAGCACAGUAAGAGCUUGCUCUUACGGGUGGCGAGUGGCGGACGGGUGAGGAAUACAUCGGAAUCUACUUUUUCGUGGGGGAUAACGCAGGGAAACUUACGCUAAUACCGCAUACGACCUACGGGUGAAAGCAGGGGAUCUUCGGACCUUGCGCGAUUGAAUGAGCCGAUGUCGGAUUAGCUAGUUGGCGGGGUAAAGGCCCACCAAGUCGACGAUCCGUAGCUGGUCUGAGAGGAUGAUCAGCCACACUGGAACUGAGACACGGUCCAGACUCCUACGGGAGGCAGCAGUGGGGAAUAUUGGACAAUGGGCGCAAGCCUGAUCCAGCCAUACCGCGUGGGUGAAGAAGGCCUUCGGGUUGUAAAGCCCUUUUGUUGGGAAAGAAAAGCAGCAGGUUAAUACCCCGCUGUUCUGACGGUACCCAAAGAAUAAGCACCGGCUAACUUCGUG
rnacentral:rRNA from 1 species